rnacentral:rRNA from 1 species
AUUGAACGCCGGCGGCAGGCCUAACACAUGCAAGUCGAGCGGAUGAGUGGAGCUUGCUCCAUGAUUCAGCGGCGGACGGGUGAGUAAUGCCUAGGAAUCUGCCUGGUAGUGGGGGACAACGUUUCGAAAGGAACGCUAAUACCGCAUACGUCCUACGGGAGAAAGUGGGGGAUCUUCGGACCUCACGCUAUCAGAUGAGCCUAGGUCGGAUUAGCUAGUUGGUGAGGUAAAGGCUCACCAAGGCGACGAUCCGUAACUGGUCUGAGAGGAUGAUCAGUCACACUGGAACUGAGACACGGUCCAGACUCCUACGGGAGGCAGCAGUGGGGAAUAUUGGACAAUGGGCGAAAGCCUGAUCCAGCCAUGCCGCGUGUGAGAAGAAGGUCUUCGGAUUGUAAAGCACUUUAAGUUGGGAGGAAGGGCAGUAAGUUAAUACCUUGCUGUUUUGACGUUACCAACAGAAUAAGCACCGGCUAACUUCGUGCCAGCCGCCGCAGUAAAAC